rnacentral:lncRNA from 1 species
UAAGCGCACAACCAGAGUCAUGGAACCCAGAAAGUUUCCAUGACUUUGGCAUAUAACUAUACUCAUAUAUCGCCUUACAGUCUUACACUCCCUGGAAACGUUUGAGGGUACAGGGUACUGCACAUUAAAGCUAAACAUUAAGUUGCAAUGUUAAGUAAAGCAGGCAUUACGCCUCAUAUUGUAACGGCAGUGUAUUUAUUUGAAACUGCCUGAAGUUCGGCGAUGGUAUUUAAACCUUAUUGCACGUUAUUGUAAUUACCUUAUAAUAAUCCACUACCUUUUGUUUUUGAUUUCAUUAUAUUUUUGAACAUUUGCUGAGAAUAUGGCUUUUUGUUUUAAGAAUCUUCUACAAGCUAUGUUGUUUUUUUUUACAAACUGUGAACUCAGUGGAUUAAGGUACAAUCAUUGGGAUGUACCACAAAGUUAUAAAACAAACUCUGCAACAGCAGAAGCAAAGAGCAUUUUUGGAAAAUAAGGAAAACAGUCUUGGCAUUGAAUAUGGGAAAGCAGACAGUUGUUUUACUCUUUUACACAGAGAGUAUACAGAACACGGGAUGCAAUAUUGAUAUACAGACCAUUCUAUUUGAAAGAUAUUGUCACUUGAGGUUAUAAGUGAAAAUUAAAGGGGCAAUGAGGGAUUUUUUUAUCUAAGGUAUCGUGGACCGUGUAUAUCGUGUAAUUGGAGCGUGGAACGAUAAGGCGUAGAAAUCACCGUGGAAAUAGGUGGAGCCAAGCUGGCCAAGCUCUUUUUCUCCACGGUUCACCCCACUGACCUACUCCAAUGACGGAUCUCCAAAGUUUAUCCUGUAGAAUAUUCCGACCGUGGAAUCGUUUUUUUUUUUUAGUAUUCUCUAAGCAAAUCGUGAAUGUGUACAGAUAACAUGCGUCGUUUUUACCGUUAAUUUAUGUUAGAAUAUCUUGAAUGAUUUUACGUACGAUAAACUAUAGAAAAUGGUUGUCACGACAUGCUUUUAUUCAUCAUUAAAUCCAAUGCGGUGGCCAGAUGUAUACCGUCUCAUCCGCCCACAGUUCACACACUCACAUUCUUCUUAAUUGUAAUCAUUAAAGGUCAGAUAAAUCGGGGUGGCUAGUGUAUGUGUAUGUAAAAGAGUCAUCUUCUGGUGGAGGUCGGUUGAAAUAGCAAAAUGUAUAGUAUUUGGGGGGAACUUUUGAAAUUUAAGAGAAAGCCAUCUUCUCCCAGAUGAAGAGUUGAUCCUAUGUAUACAAAGACCCAGAAUUUUAAGGAACAGGAAAAAACUUGUAGGCAGUAUUUUUAUAGGGUCUUAUGACGUCCGUUUCUGGCAAUAACCGCUGCCAAGAGUUAAAUGAAUAUCGCGAAAGUAGAACUGGAAAAGUUUUCUUCAUCAAAUUAAUCUAUUUUAACUCUUAAAUUGAAUGAUUGCAAGCAAUGAUCACAAUGUAUUAUUACCAUAUUUGUUACAAUUGAAUUCCUCGUUUCCCUUCCAUUACCCUGCCUGGAGGCAAAUUCUACGGUGGAUGACUCCGCUCAAUUCCACUUUGAUUUCCACGCCAAACUGUUCCACAUUCGACGUUCCAACUUCCAAAAUACACGAUGUAUACAUGGUCCCAUUUAAGGGGAAAGCUAUUGAA